rnacentral:rRNA from 1 species
AGUGAACGCUGGCGGUAGGCCUAACACAUGCAAGUCGAACGGCAGCACAGGAGAGCUUGCUCUCUGGGUGGCGAGUGGCGGACGGGUGAGGAAUACAUCGGAAUCUACUUUUUCGUGGGGGAUAACGUAGGGAAACUUACGCUAAUACCGCAUACGACCUACGGGUGAAAGCAGGGGAUCUUCGGACCUUGCGCGAUUGAAUGAGCCGAUGUCGGAUUAGCUAGUUGGCGGGGUAAAGGCCCACCAAGGCGACGAUCCGUAGCUGGUCUGAGAGGAUGAGCAGCCAAACUGGAACUGAGCCACGGUCCAGACUCCUACGGGAGUCAGCAGUGGGGAAUAUUGGACAAUGGGCGCAAGCCUGAUCCAGCCAUACCGCGUGGGUGAAGAAGGCCUUCGGGUUGUAAAGCCCUUUUGUUGGGAAAGAAAUCCAGCUGGCUAAUACCCGGUUGGGAUGACGGUACCCAAAGAAUAAGCACCGGCUAACUUCGUGCCAGCAGCCGCCGUAAGAC